rnacentral:misc_RNA from 1 species
CGCAUAUUGCGCCCUUUGGUAUUCCGAAGGGCAUGCCUGUCCGAGCGUCAUUAUCCCCCCCUCAAGCCCGGCUUGUCGUUGGACCGCGUCUGCGCGAGCAGGCUGGUCCCAAAGGUAAUGACGGCGUCUGUAGAGGACUCCAGUACACUGAGCUUUCGGGCAACGUACUCGGUUUUUUUUGGUUUUUUUUUAGGACUCUAGGCCCGGUCUCCCUCGAACGAUCUUUCACCCAGGUUGACCUCGGAUCAGGUAGGAAUACCCGCUGAACUUAA